GAAUUGUUGAUGACGGAGAUUUUAUGAAUUCGAUUUGUCAAAUCCGAGUACUGCAAAAACGUAGUCCGGAAACAAUUUCGGGGAGAGGAACACGUAAUUUUAAUAUUAUUUUACGUACAGACCCAGAUCAAUGCAGGUGCGAACGGUACACGCGGACUUGACCCCCGUAAUAUAGGAGUCCCACGAGUAGGGGUCCGAAAUAACCCACAGACUGGGGCCCCGACUCGGAUUGCGCAACUCGACUCGGUUAACCGCGAACUCGUUAAGUACUCGCUAUUUUUACAAUCGAAAUACCGAAAAAACGGACGAUUUUAAGGGGAUGGCGCGCGUUCCCCCCGCAGGCUUAAGGCGUCCACCUGAAUCCUGUGAUGAAAUUCCGUCAAGCUCUACGAGAGGCACGAGAGUUUUGCCUGUAAAGCGCGAUUUUUGAGCCGAAAAAAAAAACUGAUCGAGCGCAGGCUUGCAUU